rnacentral:rRNA from 1 species
AUUGAACGCUGGCGGCAUGCCUUACACAUGCAAGUCGAACGGUAACAGGUUAAGCUGACGAGUGGCGAACGGGUGAGUAAUGUAUCGGAACGUGCCCAGUCGUGGGGGAUAACUGCUCGAAAGAGCAGCUAAUACCGCAUACGACCUGAGGGUGAAAGCGGGGGAUCGCAAGACCUCGCGCGAUUUGAGCGGCCGAUAACGGAUUAGCUAGGUGGCGGGGUAAAAGCCCACCAAGGGGACGAUCUGUAGCUGGUCUGAGAGGACGACCAGCCACACUGGGACUGAGACACGGCCCAGACUCCUACGGGAGGCAGCAGUGGAGAAUUUUGGACAAUGGACGCAAGUCUGAUCCAGCCAUGCCGCGUGCGGGAAGAAGGCCUUCGGGUUGUAAACCGCUUUUGUCAGGGAAGAAAAGGUUCUGGUUAAUACCUGGGACUCAUGACGGUACCUGAAGAAUAAGCACCGGCUAACUACGUGCCAGCAGCCGCGGUAAAAC